GGGGGUGUAGCUCAGUGAUAGAGCGCUUGCCUAGCAUGCUCCAGGCAUGGGUUCAAUCUCUAGCACCACCA
rnacentral:tRNA from 1 species